GUCCGGUUCACAUUCAUCGCUGUCGGUGGGUUUGCGAUUCUGUCAACUCGCCGGUCGAUGAAUGACAACCGUGU
rnacentral:miRNA from 1 species